rnacentral:hammerhead_ribozyme from 1 species
GCACUGCUUACGAGUUCCAAACAGGACGAAACAGCUGUCUAGUGC